rnacentral:rRNA from 1 species
GAAUCCCGUCUUUGACACGGACUGCCUGUACAUUAUGGUGUGCUCUCGAAGAGUCGAGUUGUUUGGGAAUGCAGCUCAAAAUGGGUGGUAAAUGCCAUCUAAAGCUAAAUAUUGGCGAGAGACCGAUAGCGAACAAGUACCGUGAGGGAAAGAUGAAAAGAACUUUGGAAAGAGAGUUAAACAGUACAUGAAACUGCUGAAAGGGAAACGCUUGAAGUCAGUCGCGUUGGCUAGAAAUCAACCUUGCUUUUGCUUUGUGUACUUUCUGGUUGACGGGUCAGCAUCAAUUUUGACCACUGGAUAAAGUCUUUGGGAAUGUGGCAUCUUCGGAUGUGUUAUAGCCCAUUGUCGCAUACGGUGGUUGGGAUUGAGGAACUCAGCACGCCGCAAGGCCGGGUUUCGACCACGUUCGUGCUUAGGACGCUGGCAUAAUGGCUUUAAUCGACCCGUCUUGAAACACGGACCAAGGAGUCUAACAUGCCUGCGAGUGUUUGGGUGGAAAAACCCAUGCGCGCAAUGAAAGUGAAAGUUGAGAUCCUCUUCAAAGGGGGAGCAUUGACGCCCGGACCAGACCUUUUGUGACGGAUCCGCGGUAGAGCAUGCAUGUUGGGACCCGAAAGAUGGUGAACUAUGCCUGAAUAGGGUGAAGCCAGAGGAAACUCUGGUGGAGGCUCGUAGCGAUUCUGACGUGCAAAUCGAUCGUCAAAUUUGGGUAUAGGGGCGAAAGACUAAUCGAACCAUCUAGUAGCUGGUUCCUGCC